UAAAACGUAGGAGGCAAGCGUUAUCCGGAGUUACUGGGCGUAAAGCGUGUGUAGGUGGUUGGACAAGUUCGGUGUGAAAGCGCCCGGCUCAACUGGGCGAGGACAUUGAAGACUGUUCGGCUAGAGGCUGGUAGAGGGGUGUAGAAUUCCGGGUGUAGCGGUGAAAUGUGUAGAGAUCCGGAGGAAUACCAGUGGUGCAGACGGCGCCCUGGGCCAGACCUGACACUGAGACACGAAAGCGUGGGGAGCGAACGGGAUUAGAGACCCCGGUAGUCCACGCCGUAAACGAUGCGAACUAGGUGCGCACUUGCCGCAAGGCAAGGGCGUGCCGCAGCUAACGCCAUAAGUUCGCCGCCUGGGGAGUACGGUCGCAAGGCUA
rnacentral:rRNA from 1 species